GAGGAAGUACUGUUGGAGGUUGGAGCAAGGAGAACAGUUGUUGGAAGGAACUUGUUAGAAGAGCCACUCUCGAAGAUAUGGUGUAGACAAAGCCUGAAGCUGCAGGCUUUAUACAGGUUUUCGCCAUGUUACUCAGGUUGCUCUUGAACUCCUGGGCUCAAGCGAUUCACCCGCCUUGGCCUCCUAAAGCCCUGUUUAUACCUGGUUUACAGAGCAUAUAUCAUUACAGACUAUAUGGGCAUCCGAAAUGAAAGUUUCAUGAAAUUAGCUGCAGUAGGGACCUGGAUGGGGGACUUUGUCACAGCUUGGAUGGUCACUGAUAUGAUGCUUCAGGACAAACCCUAUCCUGACUGGGGAAAAUCAGCAAGAGCUUUCUGGAAGAAAGGAAAUGUUAGGAUCACUUUAUUCUGGACAGUUCUUUUUACUCUGACGUCUGUGGUUGUACUUGUGAUUACAACGGACUGGAUCAGCUGGGACAAGCUGAAUCGGGGAUUUUUGCCCAGUGAUGAAGUUUCCAGAGCAUUCCUUGCUUCUUUUAUCUUGGUCUUUGACCUCCUUAUUGUGAUGCAGGACUGGGAAUUCCCACAUUUCAUGGGAGAUGUUGAUGUAAAUCUCCCUGGUUUGCACACCCC
rnacentral:sRNA from 1 species